AUAUCAAUAAGCGGAGGAAAAGAAACUAACAAGGAUUCCCCUAGUAACUGCGAGUGAAGCGGGAAAAGCUCAAAUUUAAAAUCUGAUGGUCUUUGGCCGUCCGAGUUGUAAUUUAGAGAAGCGUUUUCCGCGCUGGACCGUGCACAAGUCUCCUGGAAUGGAGCGUCAUAGAGGGUGAGAAUCCCGUCUUUGGCACGGAUACCCCAGGGCUUUUGUGAUGCGCUCUCGAAGAGUCGAGUUGUUUGGGAAUGCAGCUCAAAAUGGGUGGUGAACUCCAUCUAAAGCUAAAUAUUGGCGAGAGACCGAUAGCGAACAAGUACCGUGAGGGAAAGAUGAAAAGCACUUUGGAAAGAGAGUGAAACAGUACGUGAAAUUGUUGAAAGGGAAACGCUUGAAGUCAGUCGCGUCGACCGAGACUCAGCCUUGCCUCGGCUUGGUGUACUUCUCGGCUGACGGGUCAGCAUCAAUUUCGCCCCUUGGAUAAUGGCGAGGGAAAUGUGACACCUUUGCGGUGUGUUAUAGUCUCUCGUCGCAUGCAAGGGUUGGGAUUGAGGAAUUCAGCACGCCGCAAGGCCGGGUUUUCAACCACGUUCGUGCUUAGGAUGCUGGCAUAAUGGCUUUAAUCGA
rnacentral:rRNA from 1 species